ACAACCCUACGCUAAAACAUGCGGACCGUCUGCAGGGCAGGUUUAGACCACUAUAACAUGUAGACCGUCUGCAGAGCACGUUUAGACCACUGCA